UAGCUCAGCUGGGAGAGCACCUGCUUUGCAAGCAGGAGGUCAUCGGUUCGAUCCCGUUUGCCUCCA
rnacentral:tRNA from 1 species